GAUGAACGCUGGCGGCGUGCCUAACACAUGCAAGUUGAGCGACUCACCAGGGCUUGCUCUGGGGCAAAGCAGCGAACGGGUGAGUAACUCGUGGGUAACCUGCUGAGAUGACCGGGACAACCCGAGGAAACUCGGGCAAAUACCGGAAGUGAUUCCCACACAUCAGUGUGUGAAGGAAAGCGAGCUUCGGACUCCGCAUCUCGACGGGCUCGCGGCACAUUAGCGUGUCGGGGAGGUAACGGCUCACCAAGGCAACGAUGGAUAGCUGGUCUGAGAGGGUGAUCCGCCACACUGGGACGGAGACACGGCCCAGACUCCGACGGGAGGCAUCAGUGGGGAAUCUUGCGCGAUGCGCGAAAGCGUGACGCAGCAACGCCGCGUGAGGGAAGACGGCGUUCGGGUUGUAAACCUCUUACAGAAGGGACGAAGGGUCGGCCUCGAAUAACGAGCCAGCUUGACGGUACCUUCAGAAGAAGCCCCGGCUAACUACGUGCCAGCCGCCGCAGUAA
rnacentral:rRNA from 1 species